CGACCGCAUGCCUCCUGUGCGGACCAAACAUGUGAUCAAAAGUGGAGCCAUCUGAUCUGCACAUUUGGCAUCAACGGUUCUGGACAAAAGUUGGUCUCACGCGAGAAUUUUGGCCAAGGCUCCCCUGAGCCCUUCGCAGCUUCCUCUUGUAUUUGCCUCUGCAUUUCCCCUUUCCAUUCGUGAGAUCUUUAGCCAAAUUUCCCUUUCCCCUUCACAGCUUUCUCUUCUAUUUGCCUUUGCAUUUCCCCUUUCCAUUCGUGAGAUCUUUGGCCAAAUUUCCCCUUCCCCUACGCAGCUUCCUCUUCUAUUUGCCUCUGCAUUUCCCUUUCCCAUUCGCGGCUUCCUGUUUUAUUUAUCUCUACUUCCACACUUCCACCAUUAUAGACACUGCAAGCCACAGAUCUCCAGCUCACGGGAAAGCCGUUCAGCCCCACCCGUUCUAGCCAUUCUCCUGUGCUGCUUCCACCGGCCACUAGAUUCUCCACUGCUUCCACUAAUUACCAGAUUCUCUAGUGCUUCCACCAUCGAGAGUAUGUAGGUUAAAUCUGCAACUUCUAUAUGUCAAUUUACCUUCCAAUGUUAUACUAGACAUACAAAAUAACUUUAAAAUUUGCAUAAAUAAUAUAUAAAAAAAAAGACUAUCGGUUUCACUCAGGAAACGUGAUGAUAAAAAAAAUAUUUUUUACCAAAAACAAAAUAAAUAAAAAUUGGGCUAGUCAAGAAAUGACUGGAAGUGUAAAAGUGAGUGGUUAGGCAAAAAUGUGUUUCAAUAAAUAAUGAUUUUGCAUGAGCAUAUAUUUGCACGGGGCUCCACUCAACAUUAAUGGGUUUUACUCCUUUUUUUUUUUUUUUUUUUUUUUUUUGGGGAAUUCAUCUCCUCCUCCAAGUAAAAGAAUACAUUUGGAAUGUUAUAUUUUUUAUAAAUAGCCAUAUCAACGACUAUACAACUUGUUCAAUUUAUUUAUUUUUCACAUACAUUUUCUCCCCCUAGCUUUUUAUAGUUUUCUGCUGAUCUGAACGGUAGUAAAUUGCUUUAAUUUCAUACCUACGUUCAUAUAUAUACUAAGCUUUUGCUUCUCAACAUAAUAUAUGCAUAUUUUGUAUUAAUUAAGCAAUUGCAUCAUAUAUGAAAAUUAGAUGAUAGUUACAUGUAAAUAUUUUUUAUUUUUUAUUUUAUUUUAUUUUAUUUUUUGUGAAGAAUAUGUUAUAUGCAUUUGUUUGGUUAAACAGUACCAUAAUAUUAUAGAAUAUGUUGUAUGUUUUAUUAUUUUUUAGUUUGAUUUUGCUGAAGGAGUAUAAGAAUAAUUAAUUGAAGUGAAAAUGUUCGAAAAGAGUUAGAUAAUGUUUGCAGAUGCUCUAAGAAUAUUCAAUAUGGUCUGAGAAUCUUUAUUUCGCACGAAAUAUAUAACAAAGAGGGGUGACAGGAUAAGCAUGUACAGGAAUGUUGAAAGUGAAUGUUAAGCAAACCGUAUGAAUAUGGAAAAACGUGCUAAUAUAUAUUUAGUGGUUGUUAUUGCUAUUGCUUGAUAGUCAUUGUUAUUGCUAGGUUAGAUUCGUUCAUUUAUGUAGAAAGGUUACUGGUGGUUUUUUUUUUUUUUUUUUAUAUGUCUUUUGGCUUUUUAUAGCUUAUUAAAUCCUACCUUGUGUCCUUUAGAAAUCACAGCUGGAGAUUAGUUGUGUAAGCAUGUCAACAAGUACUAGUGAUGUUCAACCAAUCCAAAUAUGCUCAUGUGGGCAAUAUAUGCAUUUAAAAACAUCAAGGAUAGAUAAGAAUCUAAAUCGUCAAUUUUGAAAAUGCUUAGGUGGAGAACAGGUUGUACAUAAUUGUUCCAUGUGUUAAAUUUUUAUUUGUUUUUGCUUAUAAAUUAAUUAAAUUAUAUAUGUUUAUAUGCCACAGGAAAAAUGAUAUAGUAGAUUCAUUUGGACAAAAGAAGGUGAAGCUAAACUAGAAAAAAUUGAUGUAUUUAUCGGUGAAGUUCGUCGUUUAUCUUUGGAAGUGGAGAAAUCUAAUAAUAUUCUUGAAGUAAUUCAGAAAAAUACUAAGAGGAGCGACCAAUAUGAUGUUAAGACGAUCAUAUUCCUUGUACUUUUAUUAUUUAUUUUCUUUAAAAUGUUAGUCGAGUAAGCCAUCAAGUAAGAUAUAUGUAUGUUUGGUUGGUAAACUAAUCAUGUAGUAAAUUCUACCUUAUGCUUGUGAAGCACCAUAUGUAUCCUAUUAAGCUUACUGUAUGUUUUGUUGAAAUUGUCUGUUAUAAUUAACUAUGCAAUAUGAUGUGUCAAGUAUGUUGAAUUGUUUGAUGAAUUGAUUCCCAUUUUAUUCCCUUUAUAUUGCUGAUGUGGUUCACGUAAUGGUAGCCCUUUGGUGUGCGUUACAUGCUUUCAUUGAUGAUUUUUAUAGGUUCUUGUUUCAAAUGUAUUCAUUAUCAAUAUUAGUAUUAACCCUAAAACCAAAUCAUAUUACCUUUUUGAUGGCUAUGCACAUCUCUCUUCUGGGCUUGCUUGUGGUCUUGCUGGGCUUGCGGCUGGAAUGGCAAUUGGUAUAAUUGGUGAUGCAGGUGUCAGGGCCAUGGUAAGUCAUGCUUAAAGAAGCAAAUGGGUCUUAUGCUUGUGCUUGUGCAAGCUGACAUUUCUAAAAUGGUUUCAAUCCUUUGGAGUAAAAAUCCAUAAGCUAUGGUGUAGACCAUUUUGAAGUGCAGAUUGAUUGAUCUGGAAAAAAAGGUGCUAUGAACCAUUUGGUGCUUGAGCUCAUUACAGCUUUUAGCCUUCAUACUAGUGACAAUGUUACUAUUGAAGCAAGUUGGUUGUUGAAUUGUACCAUGAACCCAUUUUAAAUGUACCAGAAAAGUUAAUGUUGACAAAUGUUGCCAAAUGAAUGUAUAGGUUCCUGUUGUAGCUCACUAGCUUUGAAAGUGUAACUUGGAUGUUUGUGUUGUGAAUAAAUUACUGAAAGUUAAGUUCUAUAAA